GAGUUUGAUCGUGGCUCAGAUUGAACGCUGGCGGCAUGCCUUACACAUGCAAGUCGAACGGCAGCACGGGAGCUUGCUCCUGGUGGCGAGUGGCGAACGGGUGAGUAAUGCAUCGGAACGUAUCCUGGAGUGGGGGAUAACGUAGCGAAAGUUACGCUAAUACCGCAUAUUCUGUGAGCAGGAAAGCGGGGGACCUUCGGGCCUCGCGCUCUUGGAGCGGCCGAUGUCGGAUUAGCUAGUUGGUGAGGUAAAGGCUCACCAAGGCGACGAUCCGUAGCAGGUCUGAGAGGAUGAUCUGCCACACUGGAACUGAGACACGGUCCAGACUCCUACGGGAGGCAGCAGUGGGAAUUUUGGACAAUGGGGGUAACCCUGAUCCAGCCAUGCCGCGUGAGUGAAGAAGGCC
rnacentral:rRNA from 1 species